GACGAACGCUGGCGGCGUGCUUAACACAUGCAAGUCGAACGGAAAGGCCCUGCUUUUGUGGGGUGCUCGAGUGGCGAACGGGUGAGUAACACGUGAGUAACCUGCACUUGACUUUGGGAUAACUUCAGGAGACUGGGGCGAAUACCGGAUAGGAGCUCCUGCUGCAUGGUGGGGGUUGGAAAGUUUCGGCGGUUGGGGUUGGACUCGCGGCUUAUCAGCUUGUUGGUGGGGUAGUGGCUUACCAAGGCUUUGACGGGUAGCCGGCCUGAGAGGGUGACCGGCCACAUUGGGACUGAGAUACGGCCCAGACUCCUACGGGAGGCAGCAGUGGGGAAUAUUGCACAAUGGGCGGAAGCCUGAUGCAGCAACGCCGCGUGCGGGAUGACGGCCUUCGGGUUGUAAACCGCUUUCGCCUGUGACGAAGCGUGAGUGACGGUAAUGGGUAAAGAAGCACCGGCUAACUACGUG
rnacentral:rRNA from 1 species